rnacentral:rRNA from 1 species
GCCAGACUCCUACGGGAGGCAGCAGUGGGGGAUAUUGCACAAUGGGGGGAACCCUGAUGCAGCGACGCCGUGUGGGUGAAGGAGCGUUUCGGCGCGUAAAGCCCUAUCGGCAGGGAAGAAGGAGGACGGUACCUGACUAAGAAGCCCCGGCUAACUACGUGCCAGCAGCCGCGGUAAUACGUAGGGGGCAAGCGUUAUCCGGAUUUACUGGGUGUAAAGGGGGCGCAGACGGCAGCGCAAGCCAGGAGUGAAAGCCCGGGGCCCAACCCCGGGACUGCUCUUGGAACUGCGCGGCUGGAGUGCAGGAGGGGCAGGCGGAAUUCCUAGUGUAGCGGUGAAAUGCGUAGAUAUUAGGAGGAACACCAGUGGCGAAGGCGGCCUGCUGGACUGCAACUGACGUUGAGGCUCGAAGGCGUGGGGAGCAAACAGGAUUAGAUACCCGAGUAAAC